ACGGAGGGUGCAAGCGUUGUUCGGAAUCACUGGGCGUAAAGGGCGCGUAGGCGGUUUGAUAAGUCAGAUGUGAAAGCCCACGGCUUAACUGUGGAAGUGCAUUUGAAACUGUCAGACUUGAGUAUCAGAGAGGAAAGUGGAAUUCGCAGUGUAGAGGUGAAAUGCGUAGAUAUCGCGCAGAACACCGAUUGCGAAGGCAGGAUACUAGGCCAUUACUGACGCUGAGGCACGAAAGCGUGGGGAUCAAACAG
rnacentral:rRNA from 1 species